GAGGAAUAUUGGUCAAUGGGCGGGAGCCUGAACCAGCCAAGUCGCGUGAGGGAUGACGCCCCUAUGGAUUGUAAACCUCUUUUGUCGGGGGAGCAAAAGACCCCACGCGUGGCGUUCCGAGAGUACCCGAAGAAAAAGCAUCGGCUAACUCC
rnacentral:rRNA from 1 species